rnacentral:rRNA from 1 species
AUUGAACGCUGGCGGCAUGCCUUACACAUGCAAGUCGAACGGUAACGGGCCUUCGGGUGCCGACGAGUGGCGAACGGGUGAGUAAUGCAUCGGAACGUACCUUUCAGUGGGGGAUAACGUAGCGAAAGUUACGCUAAUACCGCAUAUUCUGUGCGCAGGAAAGCAGGGGAUAGCAAGACCUUGCGCUGAUUGAGCGGCCGAUGUCAGAUUAGCUCGUUGGUGCGGUAAAGGCUCACCAAGGCGACGAGCUGUAGCGGGUCUGAGAGGAUGAUCCGCCACACUGGAACUGAGACACGGUCCAGACUCCUACGGGAGGCAGCAGUGGGGAAUUUUGGACAAUGGGGGCAACCCUGAUCCAGCCAUGCCGCGUGAGUGAAGAAGGCCUUCGGGUUGUAAAGCUCUUUCGGCCGGGAAGAAAUCGUAUCAGCUAAUACCUGGUGCGGAUGACGGUACCGGCAUAAGAAGCACCGGCUAACUACGUGCCAGCAGCCGCAGUAAAAC